rnacentral:rRNA from 1 species
GAUGAACGCUGGCGGCGUGCCUAAUACAUGCAAGUCGAGCGAACGGACGAGAAGCUUGCUUCUCUGAUGUUAGCGGCGGACGGGUGAGUAACACGUGGAUAACCUACCUAUAAGACUGGGAUAACUUCGGGAAACCGGAGCUAAUACCGGAUAAUAUUUUGAACCGCAUGGUUCAAAAGUGAAAGACGGUCUUGCUGUCACUUAUAGAUGGAUCCGCGCUGCAUUAGCUAGUUGGUAAGGUAACGGCUUACCAAGGCAACGAUGCAUAGCCGACCUGAGAGGGUGAUCGGCCACACUGGAACUGAGACACGGUCCAGACUCCUACGGGAGGCAGCAGUAGGGAAUCUUCCGCAAUGGGCGAAAGCCUGACGGAGCAACGCCGCGUGAGUGAUGAAGGUCUUCGGAUCGUAAAACUCUGUUAUUAGGGAAGAACAUAUGUGUAAGUAACUGUGCACAUCUUGACGGUACCUAAUCAGAAAGCCACGGCUAACUACGUGCCAGCAGCCGCGGUAAUACGUAGGUGGCAAGCGUUAUCCGGAAUUAUUGGGCGUAAAGCGCGCGUAGGCGGUUUUUUAAGUCUGCUGUGAAAGCCCACGGCUCAACCGUGGAGGGUCAUUGGAAACUGGAAAACUUGAGUGCAGAAGAGGAAAGUGGAAUUCCAUGUGUAGCGGUGAAAUGCGCAGAGAUAUGGAGGAACACCAGUGGCGAAGGCGACUUUCUGGUCUGUAACUGACGCUGAUGUGCGAAAGCGUGGGGAUCAAACAGGAUUAGAUACCCUGGUAGUCCACGCCGUAAACGAUGAGUGCUAAGUGUUAGGGGGUUUCCGCCCCUUAGUGCUGCAGCUAACGCAUUAAGCACUCCGCCUGGGGAGUACGACCGCAAGGUUGAAACUCAAAGGAAUUGACGGGGACCCGCACAAGCGGUGGAGCAUGUGGUUUAAUUCGAAGCAACGCGAAGAACCUUACCAAAUCUUGACAUCCUUUGACAACUCUAGAGAUAGAGCUUUCCCCUUCGGGGGACAAAGUGACAGGUGGUGCAUGGUUGUCGUCAGCUCGUGUCGUGAGAUGUUGGGUUAAGUCCCGCAACGAGCGCAACCCUUAAGCUUAGUUGCCAUCAUUAAGUUGGGCACUCUAAGUUGACUGCCGGUGACAAACCGGAGGAAGGUGGGGAUGACGUCAAAUCAUCAUGCCCCUUAUGAUUUGGGCUACACACGUGCUACAAUGGACAAUACAAAGGGCAGCGAAACCGCGAGGUCAAGCAAAUCCCAUAAAGUUGUUCUCAGUUCGGAUUGUAGUCUGCAACUCGACUACAUGAAGCUGGAAUCGCUAGUAAUCGUAGAUCAGCAUGCUACGGUGAAUACGUUCCCGGGUCU